AUUGGUUUAGCCAUCUCAGCCCUCUAUUUUCUUGAGACUUUCUGACCUCCAACAUCUCCAGCUUCCUUCAAUCCUGAAAGAGCCCUUAACUCCAACAAACAAACAAACAAAGGUAGUUAGCAAGUAAGAGAAACUGGGCAAGAAAGAGAGAUAUCAAACCAACUCCUUAUAUUGCAGACUUCUAAGUUCAAGACCACUUAAUUAGAAGACAUAGCUCAUGUGCUCAGAAGAAAACACGAGAUGGUCAGACAUGAUGACGAGGAGAGAGAGAGAAGAAGUGAAUAAAGAACAUCAGUGGCAAGUUGAGAGCCUCCUGUGCCUCAUCCUGAUCAAGGCCCAGCUGCUCACACACAGGUUUCCAGAUCCACAGAGUUUCAGGUGUACAAUAUAA
rnacentral:lncRNA from 1 species